UACGAAGGGGGCUAGCGUUGUCCGGAAUUAUUGGGCGUAAAGAGCUCGUAGGCGGCCUGUCACGUCGGAUGUGAAAGCCCGGGGCUUAACCCCGGGUCUGCAUUCGAUACGGGCAGGCUAGAGUUCGGCAGGGGAGAUCGGAAUUCCUGGUGUAGCGGUGAAAUGCGCAGAUAUCAGGAGGAACACCGGUGGCGAAGGCGGAUCUCUGGGCCGAUACUGACGCUGAGGAGCGAAAGCAUGGGGAGCGAACAGG
rnacentral:rRNA from 1 species